ACGACUCUCGACAACGGAUAUCUUGGCUCUCGCAUCGAUGAAGAACGUAGCGAAAUGCGAUACUUGGUGUGAAUUGCAGAAUCCCGUGAACCAUCGAGUCUUUGAACGCAAGUUGCGCCUGAAACCAUUAGGUUGAGGGCACGUUUGCCUGGGUGUCACGU
rnacentral:rRNA from 1 species